UGUUCUGGAGACCGCCCCUUUUCCUGGGGAAAGAAGGCUCCAUUUUGAGAAGCCUCUUGCCUUCUAGACUGAAGAAGAAACAACUUAGAUGUGCUUGUGUGGCCAAGCCAGGCCAACUUUGACAAAGCCAUCAUUGAGAAGCUGAAAGAAAGUAAGGAGACAUGGAGACAAGGAGAUUCUUCUAAUUUGCAUUGUACACUAUUCGCACUUUUCUGGCCCACUCCUCUUUUAGGAGCCAACCCAGGUUUUUACCAAAGCAUAAUUGGCAGUGCUAGUGAUGACCUAUAAAUCCCUGUAUGGCCCAGGUCCAAGUGAGCUGGUAGAUUGUAUUUCUUUAUGAACCAUCUCAGACUCUGUGAUCAUCUGGAGAGGACCACCACCAACACAAGCACAUCUGGGGCGGAUGCAAGAGAGGAUCUUCUUGGUGAUUGCACCCAGAUGCUAGAAUUUUACAAAAAUAUUCAACAAAGCAAGACGUGAUUUUAAACAUGAAAACCACAUCUAUCUAUUUAUCAAAUGAUCUCUCAGUUGAUAUAUCGAUCUCCCAACAUUUAGUCCUAUUAAACAUUUACCAAAAUUC